rnacentral:piRNA from 1 species
GAGGAGAAUGUGUGUAGUCCUGCCU